GAUGCCAGGGGCAAAAGGUCUAAAACCACAUGAGCUUGCUCAUAAGUGGGAGAUAGACCUUGGGUCCCGCCCGAUAUGAGCAUAAAAGUGGGAUGUAUAUCCCACGAUAUGCGAAUAUCGGGGAGGAUUGCGAGAGUGCGUAGCACGGAACAAUCCGCAGGCAUC
rnacentral:sRNA from 1 species